rnacentral:rRNA from 1 species
AGCGACUUAUAUUCUGUAGCAAGGUUAACCGAAUAGGGGAGCCGAAGGGAAACCGAGUCUUAACUGGGCGUUAAGUUGCAGGGUAUAGACCCGAAACCCGGUGAUCUAGCCAUGGGCAGGUUGAAGGUUGGGUAACACUAACUGGAGGACCGAACCGACUAAUGUUGAAAAAUUAGCGGAUGACUUGUGGCUGGGGGUGAAAGGCCAAUCAAACCGGGAGAUAGCUGGUUCUCCCCGAAAGCUAUUUAGGUAGCGCCUCGUGAAUUCAUCUCCGGGGGUAGAGCACUGUUUCGGCAAGGGGGUCAUCCCGACUUACCAACCCGAUGCAAACUGCGAAUACCGGAGAAUGUUAUCACGGGAGACACACGGCGGGUGCUAACGUCCGUCGUGAAGAGGGAAACAACCCAGACCGCCAGCUAAGGUCCCAAAGUCAUGGUUAAGUGGGAAACGAUGUGGGAAGGCCCAGACAGCCAGGAUGUUGGCUUAGAAGCAGCCAUCAUUUAAAGAAAGCGUAAUAGCUCACUGGUCGAGUCGGCCUGCGCGGAAGAUGUAACGGGGCUAAACCAUGCACCGAAGCUGCGGCAGCGACGCUUAUGCGUUGUUGGGUAGGGGAGCGUUCUGUAAGCCUGGAAGGUGUGCUGUGAGGCAUGCUGGAGGUAUCAGAAGUGCGAAUGCUGACAUAAGUAACGAUAAAGCGGGUGAAAAGCCCGCUCGCCGGAAGACCAAGGGUUCCUGUCCAACGUUAAUCGGGGCAGGGUGAGUCGACCCCUAAGGCGAGGCCGAAAGGCGUAGUCGAUGGGAAACAGGUUAAUAUUCCUGUACUUGGUGUUACUGCGAAGGGGGGACGGAGAAGGCUAUGUUGGCCGGGCGACGGUUGUCCCGGUUUAAGCGUGUAGGCUGGUUUUCCAGGCAAAUCCGGAAAAUCAAGGCUGAGGCGUGAUGACGAGGCACUACGGUGCUGAAGCAACAAAUGCCCUGCUUCCAGGAAAAGCCUCUAAGCAUCAGGUAACAUCAAAUCGUACCCCAAACCGACACAGGUGGUCAGGUAGAGAAUACCAAGGCGCUUGAGAGAACUCGGGUGAAGGAACUAGGCAAAAUGGUGCCGUAACUUCGGGAGAAGGCACGCUGAUAUGUAGGUGAAGUCCCUCGCGGAUGGAGCUGAAAUCAGUCGAAGAUACCAGCUGGCUGCAACUGUUUAUUAAAAACACAGCACUGUGCAAACACGAAAGUGGACGUAUACGGUGUGACGCCUGCCCGGUGCCGGAAGGUUAAUUGAUGGGGUUAGCGCAAGCGAAGCUCUUGAUCGAAGCCCCGGUAAACGGCGGCCGUAACUAUAACGGUCCUAAGGUAGCGAAAUUCCUUGUCGGGUAAGUUCCGACCUGCACGAAUGGCGUAAUGAUGGCCAGGCUGUCUCCACCCGAGACUCAGUGAAAUUGAACUCGCUGUGAAGAUGCAGUGUACCCGCGGCAAGACGGAAAGACCCCGUGAACCUUUACUAUAGCUUGACACUGAACAUUGAGCCUUGAUGUGUAGGAUAGGUGGGAGGCUUUGAAGUGUGGACGCCAGUCUGCAUGGAGCCGACCUUGAAAUACCACCCUUUAAUGUUUGAUGUUCUAACGUUGACCCGUAAUCCGGGUUGCGGACAGUGUCUGGUGGGUAGUUUGACUGGGGCGGUCUCCUCCUAAAGAGUAACGGAGGAGCACGAAGGUUGGCUAAUCCUGGUCGGACAUCAGGAGGUUAGUGCAAUGGCAUAAGCCAGCUUGACUGCGAGCGUGACGGCGCGAGCAGGUGCGAAAGCAGGUCAUAGUGAUCCGGUGGUUCUGAAUGGAAGGGCCAUCGCUCAACGGAUAAAAGGUACUCCGGGGAUAACAGGCUGAUACCGCCCAAGAGUUCAUAUCGACGGCGGUGUUUGGCACCUCGAUGUCGGCUCAUCACAUCCUGGGGCUGAAGUAGGUCCCAAGGGUAUGGCUGUUCGCCAUUUAAAGUGGUACGCGAGCUGGGUUUAGAACGUCGUGAGACAGUUCGGUCCCUAUCUGCCGUGGGCGCUGGAGAACUGAGGGGGGCUGCUCCUAGUACGAGAGGACCGGAGUGGACGUAUCACUGGUGUUCGGGUUGUCAUGCCAAUGGCACUGCCCGGUAGCUAAAUGCGGAAGAGAUAAGUGCUGAAAGCAUCUAAGCACGAAACUUGCCCCGAGAUGAGUUCUCCCUGACCCUUUAAGGGUCCUGAAGGAACGUUGAAGACGACGACGUUGAUAGGCCGGGUGUGUAAGCGCAGCGAUGCGUUGAGCUAACCGGUACUAAUGAACCGUGAGGCUUAACCUU